AUUAAUCUUCCCUGCCCUGACUCAGACAAACGGGAGCACAAGGUGUUACUGGAGUCUGGUUCUCUCCCUCCAGUGUGGCGCUUUCCGAGAGUCACGCGGGUUGCCCUCACUGAUGACACUGAGGACCUCGUCCUGCGCUCAUGGAGGAUUGCCAUGGGAUGCGUCUGCUCAAGUUCGAAGCCCUUCUGUUUCAGCUGUUCAUCUUUAUUAAUUUCCUUUUCACCUUCACAGUGUUUUUGAUUCUACAUACAAGGUGGUUUCCUCGUGCACAAGUGACCCUCAGCGUGCUCUCUGAAACCUUCCAGGACACCCUUCCUGCAGCUGUCCUCUCUGUGUCUCUGCCAAGUGAGCUUACGCUGCCCUGGCCUCUCCAGAUACUUGGAUCCUUCUCCUCAAAGCUCAGGAGACUGCUGAGCUCUUUUGAGGGUGUUGGUGCAUGAGAACCCCCUCCAGGCAGCUGUGGGGGCAAGGAAAGGACCCCUCACUCACUUCCUGCUUCUCAGGGGUCACCAUUCUGCACUGCCUAAGGUCUACUACAGAAAGGUCAUUCUUCUUGUUUUUUGUUUCAGGAGGGGUAAUGGAUACAGUGAAGUCCUCUGAAAAAGCAGUUUUUAAGGCAUUCUUGUGCAGUAAUUUAAGUCCAAAGAUCCAAAUUUCUUGCAGAUUCCCCUGCUCUCCUGAACUUGCAAUCAUAUCUAUAAUUUUACCUGGCAAGCUCAUAAAGCGGGGUGAAGUCGAUAUUUUAAUGAAUAUGAAGGAUAGCAUUGUAGUAAAGGAAAAUGAGACUUCUCUUUAGAUUAGAUAAAAGUUUUAAAAUUAGCAUAGUUCUUUACCACUAGAAAAGAGCUAUGAGAAUGAAAAGGGUUUAUUGUGGCUCAUUAAUUUGGUUUUAAUGUUACACUACUCAGAAUUUCCUAAUUUGGGCAAGUAUUUUAAUGUAUUACUUUUUGAUGCUGAGGAUCGA